UCUUGGUAAGUUGUUCUCAAGUAGUAGGCUGCAGCUCUGCUCUGCUGUCUGUCGUCAAGGAUCAAAAAAAGAAAUACAGCCACACAGGAGAGGCAAAAUAUAUUGUGCUGCUCGUCCUGGUUGUCUUUUAGGUAUUUGAAGUCUGUCAUCGUUUUAUCGCGUUUCCCUUCAGUCUUAUCCUUUGGAGACCAAAGAAUCCUAAUUCCUUUGGCCCUUCUUGUAGGUCAUGGCAGACCUUCAAAUCCAUUGCAGUGAAAAAGCGAGCCUGCAGUAUGUCAUGCGUAUAACAAGCCGAGCUGCAGGAGACGAAAGACUGCAUAAAAACCACCAGGCUGAAGUCCUCCGGUCAUCUUGUCCUCCAUGCGCUGCUUAGAAAGGAUGGAUUCGAGUUGCAUGCCACCAGUGGGAAAGGCUUAUGGCGUAGUGGAGGAGGAUAGCGGAGUGAUGGUGUGUUUCUUACCUUCUCUUCAAUCUCUCCAUCUUUGUACUUUGCUCUGAGCUUCUACCAGCAGUCUCCUGCAGGUCUCAGAGGCUUUGUUUCUGCUUGAAAUACAACACCUGGUGAAGUCCUCUUGACUUCAAGACUUCGUUACCUGUGCUGCCUUAACGCAGGUCAUCUGCCUGUUGUCAUACCACAAAAUAUAGGUAAUUAUAUCUUCAUCUAAGUUACAAAACCUGAAGUUUCUGACUCUUCUAAGAAGUAUGUUCUGACAUCCUUCCCUGAGAGAUGGUGAAGUGAGCAAUAGACUUAACGCUUCGUCUGUCAGCCCUUCUUGGUAUCUCCUGCACAGGAUGAAACCGCGAGCAAAAUUACCACCUUCAUGAAAUCUGAAAUGUCUUCCUUUUUCUGAGCAGUUAAAGUUAACACAUUGCUAAGUGUUAUUCUCUCAUAAGAUGCCUUUCCAAAAGCAUUUAAUGAACUAGAAUUGAAAGCUAACAGAGUAGUAGUUGAAUUUUACUUUUUUCUCUGUUUAAAAUAUUCAUUUUCCUUUUUACUCUAGCUCACAUCCAUACAUCAUUUUGCCUUACUACUCUAAAAUGGGAAUAACUGCGUGCAACCCUGAGAAGCAUUCUUGUUAUUUUUGCCUUGCUAUCGCAGAAUUCAAGAUACAUUGUAUCAAAGACACUAUAUAAAAAGCAAAUUAAAACUGAAUUGCAGUAAGGCUACUAAAAUAAUUCAUUGCCCUUUGCAGAGUUUACUACUGAGUAUGCUGUGUGGCGUGAAUGGACAAUUAAAUGCAAAGAAUUGGUAUUAAUGUGCUGGUUUGUAAUAAUUAUUGAAUGUGUAUUUAUGUAUACCUCAUUCUGUAUGUUAAUUGCAAAUAAGACUGGUGACUCG